AGCGAACGCUGGCGGCAGGCCUAACACACGCAAGUCGAACGAACCCUUCGGGGUUAGUGGCGGACGGGUGAGUAACACGUGGGAACGUGCCUUUAGGUUCGGAAUAACUCAGGGAAACUUGUGCUAAUACCGAAUGUGCCCUUCGGGGGCAGGAUUUAUCGCCUUUAGAGCGGCCCGCGUCUGAUUAGCUAGUUGGUGAGGUAAUGGCUCACCAAGGCUACGAUCAGUAGCUGGUCUGAGAGGAUGACCAGCCACAUUGGGACUGAGACACGGCCCAAACUCCUACGGGAGGCAGCAGUGGGGAAUUUUGGGCAAUGGGCGAAAGCCUGACGCAGCCAUGCCGCGUGGAUGAUGAAGGUCUUAGGAUUGUAAAAUCCUUUCACCGGUGAAGAUAAUGACUGUAGCCGGAGAAGAAGCCCCGGCUAACUUCGUGCCAGCCGCCGCUGUAAUAC
rnacentral:rRNA from 1 species